UUGAACCAGAUGGAGAAGCAGGGCACGUGCAAUACUAACUCUUAUGAACCAUGAGAAUCAUACACGUGUAGUUAGUCCUUCAUGUGCUCUUCUUCCCCAUCUUGAUAAC